UUCUUGAGUGUGUACUUGUUAAGCCUUUUAAGAAAAAAGUUAUUAACUUAAGGAAUUAUAACAAAGAAGCAACACGUAAAUGGAUUUUCCAUUUUUUAGUGUGUAUCAAUCGAGUUUCUGACCUAUCAGCUUUUGAUGUUAGGGUAUUGGCCUAACAUGGCUAUGACGGGUAACGGGGAAUUAGAGUUCGAUUCCGGAGAGGGAGCCUGAGAAAUAGCUACCACAUCUAAGGAAGGCAGCAGGCGCGUAAAUUACCCAAUUCUAAAGAAGAGAGGUAGUGACAAGAAAUAACAAUACAAGGCCAAUCUGGCUUUGUAAUUGGAAUGAUGGGAAUUUAAAACCUUCCCAAAACUCAAUUGGAGGGCAAGUCUGGUGCCAGCAGCCGCGGUAAUUCCAGCUCCAAUAGCGUAUAUUAAAAUUGUUGCAGUUAAAACGCUCGUAGUUGAAUUUCAAAGAAUCGAUAUUUUAAGUAACGCUUUGUAGAUUAAUCCACAUAACUGAUACUACGUAUCGACUUUGUGCGCAUUUUUCUACUUAUGUGUUCUUUUAAUUAAAAUGAUUCUUUUUAAGAUCUUUCUUUUUUGCUUCGGCAUUUUAGGAGAUCUUGUUACUUUGAGUAAAUUAGAGUGUUCAAAGCAAACAGAUUAUAGCAUCUUUAUGCGUUUGAAUACUACAGCAUGGAAUAACAAAAUUGAACAAGUCAGAAUUUUGUUCUUUUUUCUUAUUUUGGCUUAGUUACGAUUAAUAGGAGUAGCUUGGGGGCAUUUGUAUUCAGAUGUCAGAGGUGAAAUUCUUAGAUUUUCUGGAGACAAACAACUGCGAAAGCAUUUGCCUAAAAUACUUCCAUUAAUCAAGAACGAAAGUUAAGGGAGUGAAGACGAUCAGAUACCGUCGUAAUCUUAACCAUAAACUAUGCCGACUAGGC
rnacentral:rRNA from 1 species